rnacentral:rRNA from 1 species
AACGAACGCUGGCGGCAGGCUUAACACAUGCAAGUCGAGCGCCCCGCAAGGGGAGCGGCAGCCGGGUGAGUAACGCGUGGGGAGCUAUCAAUCCCUACGGAAUAACGCAUGGAAACGUGUGCUAAUACGGUAUCAGUACUUCGGGAGAAAGAUUUACCGGAGAUGGAUGAGCCCGCGUUGGAUUAGCUAGUUGGUGGGGUAAAGGCCUACCAAGGCGACGAUCCAUAGCUGGUCUGAGAGGAUGAUCAGCCACACUGGGACUGAGACACGGCCCAGACUCCUACGGGAGGCAGCAGUGGGGAAUAUUGGACAAUGGGCGCAAGCCUGAUCCAGCCAUGCCGCGUGAGUGAUGAAGGCCCUAGGGUUGUAAAGCUCUUUCACCGGUGAAGAUAAUGACGGUAACCGGAGAAGAAGCCCCGGCUAACUUCGUGCCAGCCGCCGCGGUAAUAC